UACGUAGGGGCCUAGCGUUGUCCGGAUUUAUUGGGCGUAAAGAGCUCGUAGGCGGUUUGGUGAGUCGGGUGUGAAAUCUCCACGCUCAACGUGGAGGAGCCACCCGAUACUGCCAUGACUAGAGUCCGGUAGGGGAGUGUGGAAUUCCCGGUGUAGCGGUGAAAUGCGCAGAUAUCAGGAAGAACACCUAUGGCGAAGGCAGCUCUCUGGGACGGUACUGACGCUGAGACGCGAAAGCGUGGGGAGCGAACAGG
rnacentral:rRNA from 1 species